CCUACGGGAGGCAGCAGUGGGGAAUUUUGGACAAUGGGGGCAACCCUGAUCCAGCCAUGCCGCGUGUGUGAAGAAGGCCUUCGGGUUGUAAAGCACUUUUGUUCGGAACGAAACGGCGAAGGUUAAUAACUUUCGCUAAUGACGGUACCGGAAGAAUAAGCACCGGCUAACUACGUGCCAGCAGCCGCGGUAAUACGUAGGGUGCAAGCGUUAAUCGGAAUUACUGGGCGUAAAGCGUGCGCAGGCGGUUUUGUAAGUCAGAUGUGAAAUCCCCGGGCUCAACCUGGGAACUGCAUUUGAAACUGCAAGGCUAGAGUGUGUCAGAGGGGGGUAGAAUUCCACGUGUAGCAGUGAAAUGCGUAGAGAUGUGGAGGAGUACCGAUGGCGAAGGAAGCCCCCUGGGAUAACACUGACGCUCAUGCACGAAAGCGUGGGGAGCAAACAGGAUUAGAUACCCUGGUAGUCCACGCCCUAAACGAUGUCAACUAGUUGUCGGGGAUUAACUUCCUUGGUAACGCAGCUAACGCGUGAAGUUGACCGCCUGGGGAGUACGGUCGCAAGAUUAAAACUCAAAUGAAUUGACGG
rnacentral:rRNA from 1 species